UCUCCGUAGGUGAACCAGCGGAGGGAUCAUUACCGAGUUCAUAACCUACAAACUAGUGCUCACAUACCAAUAACUUAUUCCUUUUUUUCUUUGCCCCCCCUAUAACGUGCGGCCCGGCUAGCGGCCCCACAUAGCCUGCUUCCACAGUAUCUCCCAAGAACCCAUAUGUUAAUAACGAAAACUUUCAAUAACAGAUCUAUUAGUUCUGACAUCGAUGCAGUACGUAGUAGAUCCGAAGAACACACCACCGAACCCCAGUAACAAAGUGGCAUACC
rnacentral:misc_RNA from 1 species